GGUAGCCGGCCUGAGAGGGCGACCGGCCACACUGGGACUGAAACACGGCCCAGACUCCUACGGGAGGCAGCAGUGGGGAAUAUUGCACAAUGGGCGAAAGCCUGAUGCAGCGACGCCGCGUGAGGGAUGACGGCCUUCGGGUUGUAAACCUCUUUCAGCAGGGAAGAAGCGAAAGUGACGGUACCUGCAGAAGAAGCGCCGGCUAACUACGUGCCAGCAGCCGCGGUAAUACGUAGGGCGCGAGCGUUGUCCGGAAUUAUUGGGCGUAAAGAGCUCGUAGGCGGCUUGUCGCGUCGGUUGUGAAAGCCCGGGGCUUAACCCCGGGUCUGCAGUCGAUACGGGCAGGCUAGAGUUCGGUAGGGGAGAUCGGAAUUCCUGGUGUAGCGGUGAAAUGCGCAGAUAUCAGGAGGAACACCGGUGGCGAAGGCGGAUCUCUGGGCCGAUACUGACGCUGAGGAGCGAAAGCGUGGGGAGCGAACAGGAUUAGAUACCCUGGUAGUCCACGCCGUAAACGGUGGGCACUAGGUGUGGGCGACAUUCCACGUCGUCCGUGCCGCAGCUAACGCAUUAAGUGCCCCGCCUGGGGAGUACGGCCGCAAGGCUAAAACUCAAAGGAAUUGACGGGGGCCCGCACAAGCGGCGGAGCAUGUGGCUUAAUUCGACGCAACGCGAAGAACCUUACCAAGGCUUGACAUACACCGGAAAACCCUGGAGACAGGG
rnacentral:rRNA from 1 species